rnacentral:pre_miRNA from 10 species
UGGCUUGGUACGGUGGGACAGCUGGUGUUGUGAAUCAGGCCGCCACAAUGCCCGGACCGGCUCCUUCCCAACACCAGGGUCUCACCGUCGCCCC